GAGCCAGGGAAGGAGAUAGAUGUGUCUUGUUUGCGGCAGCCUGCUGCCAAACUAGGAGGUGCCCUGGACCUAGGGAGGACCGAAGCCAGGGAGGAGCUGGUGGGGCUGCCAUUGGCUUAGUACCCUGAUGAAGUAGGGGAUCCUGAGACAAUGGAGCCUGAUCUGGAACUCUGAGACACACCAUGUUCCCAAGCAGCUGGAAACUUGGCAGUAAACUAAAGAAAAGCUCACCUGUUGCCUGAUCCAAUGUGCACUGAAAACAAUGGAAACAUUCCCAUUGCCUCUUGUGGAUGUUGGAUCAGGGUCCUAAUGAGCCAGCAACCAGAAGAUUGCUUGUUAAUUAUUUUACUUUGAUGACAAGUUUGUUCCCUGUGACAUUUGUUUUUAGUUUUUAUUUUCUGUUUAUUUCUGUAUGAUUAAGAAUGAAACAUCUGCUCCUAUUGUC